UUAUUUUCUAAACCUCGUGUGUGUUUGGUUGGUACGAAUGACAAUUUCAUUACUCUUGUUUCUUAUUAUCUCUCUAAAUUUUCUCCACCCUUGUCUCUUCCAAACAGAUCCUCUGGUGGCGGUGGUUGAUCUAUCAUUCACGGCCAAAUCUAGUCACAUGAAGCACCAAUCUAGCACUCUAACAACUAGAUUUAACUGUCGGAAGCAUCUAUCUAGUCGUGGUGGUAUCAGUGCGGUCGAUGGAGGAAAUUUAUACACAGAAAGAGAGAGGUAAAUGAGUAAAGAGGGAAAUAAAAAUGGAAGAUGAAUAGGUUUUGUCUUAUACAUAAGGUAGUAAUUGUUAAAAUUGAUUAAGGGUAUUUUUAUCUACCAACUUUUUUUAACCUAUUCCCACGGAUGGAAUAGUUAUUACCAAUGAAAGAUAAGAAUAGCUCUUCCGACUUAUCCUUGAAUGACUAUUUUUCUCGAAAUAAUUAUUUCUUUCAACUAAACAUACAUGUCAUGAGAUUCGAGAUUUAUAAGUCUCAUCAGAUGGUUGAGUCAACUUAAGUUAAUUUUAUGCUGGUUCCUUGGUUGAUUUGUUUAAUUGAUAUAAUUCAUUAAAUUCUUAUAUAAUAUGCAUUACUUGACUGCGUUGGUGACUUCUGCUUGUUUCUAUAACUUCAUAAAAAUAAAAUACAACCACAGAAGUUGUACAGGAGGCCAACCUGCUGAUGCCUUGUUGCCUGUAAAACAACAUGAAUCUUGGUG
rnacentral:lncRNA from 1 species